rnacentral:rRNA from 1 species
GAGGCCUGCCUGCCCAGUGACAAACGUUCAACGGCCGCGGUAUCCUGACCGUGCAAAGGUAGCAUAAUCACUUGUUCCUUAAUUGGGGACUGGAAUGAAUGGCCUCACGAGGAUUCAACUGUCUCUUACCUCUAAUCAGUGAAAUUGACCUCCCCGUGAAGAGGCGGGGAUACAACAACAAGACGAGAAGACCCUAUGGAGCUUUAAUUUUCUGUCUUAACUACUAAAUAACUAACCCUACUGGGAUAAAAAAAGAGAAAUAAGCCAGUAAUUUCGGUUGGGGUGACCUCGGAGAAUAAGACAACCUCCGAAUGAUUUUAACCAAGACAAACAAGUCAAAGUAUUAAAAAUCAAAUUGACCCAAUUCAUUUGAUCAACGGACCAAGUUACCCUAGGGAUAACAGCGCAAUCCUAUUCAAGAGUCCAUAUCGACAAUUAGGGUUUACGACCUCGAUGUUGGAUCAGGACAUCCCAAUGGUGUAGCAGCUAUUAAUGGUUCGUUUGUUCAACGAUUAAAGUCCUACGUGAUCUG